CUGGCUCAGGAUAAACGCUGGCGGCGUGCCUAACACAUGCAAGUCGAACGGACGGACGGGAGCUUGCUCCCGCGAGUUAGUGGCGGACGGGUGAGUAAUGUAUGAGCAACCUGCCUUUCAGAGGGGGACAACAGUUGGAAACGACUGCUAAUACCGCAUAAAAAAGCGAGUGUCGCAUGACACUUGUUUCAAAGGAGAAAUCCGCUGAAAGAUGGGCUCAUAUCUGAUUAGAUAGUUGGUAAGGUAAUGGCUUACCAAGUCUGCGAUCAGUAGCCGGACUGAGAGGUUGAACGGCCACAUUGGAACUGAGAGACGGUCCAGACUCCUACGGGAGGCAGCAGUGGGGAAUAUUGGGCAAUGGGCGAAAGCCCUGACCCAGCAACGCCGCGUGAGGGAAGAAGGUCUUCGGAUUGUAAACCUUUGUCUUAUGGGACGAUAAUGACGGUACCAUAGGAGGAAGCCACGACUAACUACGUGCCAGCCGCCGC
rnacentral:rRNA from 1 species